UACGUAGGUGGCAAGCGUUGUCCGGAUUUACUGGGCGUAAAGAGCGCGCAGGCGGUCGUUUAAGUCGAAUGUGAAAGCCCCCGGCUCAACUGGGGAGGGUCACGCGAUACUGCUCAACUCGAAGGCAGGAGAGGGAAGUGGAAUUCCCGGUGUAGUGGUGAAAUGCGUAGAUAUCGGGAGGAACACCAGUGGCGAAGGCGACUUCCUGGCCUGUUCUUGACGCUGAGGCGCGAAAGCUAGGGUAGCAAACGGG
rnacentral:rRNA from 1 species